UACGUAGGGUGCAAGCGUUGUCCGGAAUUAUUGGGCGUAAAGAGCUCGUAGGCGGUUCGUCGCGUCGGCUGUGAAAUCCCGGAGCUCAACUCCGGGUCUGCAGUCGAUACGGGCGGACUCGAGUUCGGCAGGGGAGACUGGAAUUCCUGGUGUAGCGGUGAAAUGCGCAGAUAUCAGGAGGAACACCAGGUGGCGAAGGCGGGCGUCUGGCG
rnacentral:rRNA from 1 species